GUAAGCCCUCACAUCAAUCCUGGGACAGAGAUUAACGAGUCCCUUUGGGCAAAGCACCAAACUCGAAGACUCGUUUUCCAAUUUGUAGACUAGAGAUAAAACAGCAGCCCCGAAACGGACUUGUAGGGAUUAAAUGAGAUAAUACAUGCAAAGUGUUUAGCACAGUUUUGGCCCCUAGUAAUAGCUAACCUGUCCCAGGGUUCUGAGGUACUCCUUGUCACCUCUGACCACCCCCCUUCCUCCUACAGGUCCGGGGUCUUUCAGAAGUCGGGGGGGGGGGGGGGAGUAGGGAAGCCUCUUGGAGACGGAGAUUUGGUGGCACACUAUUUGGGCAAGUCUGCUUCUCCUGAAAAACUGACUUUCUUUUUGAAAAUGAAAAGGUAAAGGGAACUGCAUUAGGAAGGAAGCUAUGAAAGAUAGUUAACCCACGAUCAAAAAGGCCCAGGUUGGACAUGUCAUUCGUAACGCACUCUAUCUCCUCUUCUUAUCGCUGCCUGGAGUCUUGUUAGCCAUUUUGGGUCCCCAACUCGGCAGCGGGAUAUGCCACUAAUCUAAUUUUUUUUUAAUCUCGCCUAGUUUAUAGUAUAUAAGCUUAACUGAGUGUUGGAAAUAGCAGUAGCCCAGGACCUUCUGGAGCAUUUCUGCACUUUACCCUUCAGGGGCAUGCUGCAAAAUGAAAUGGCCUGUGGCAAUGCCAUAAAAAUGAAAAGAUCGCAGGUUUCAGAAGCACACAGAGCUAGAUCUGAAUCCUAGUUCCAGUGCUUACAAGCUGGUUACUUUGAGCAAGUCUCUUAAUUCCACUGAGCUCCCACCUCCCCGUCCGCAGAACAGAGAUAAUAAUAGACAUAUCAUGGUGUUCUGGUGUCACAGAACCAUAUAAUGUGAGUUCUCAACUUACUCAAAUGCAACUUCUAGGUCUGCUUUUCUUGCAUAAGUUUACAUAGUAGUCAUUUAAAAUAUGCAUUCCUCAUGUCUUGCGUUCCUGAAAGCAUUACACCUUAUACUACGUGCUACUAUAUAGGUUUUUAUUCCCUCGCAAAAACAUUUAUACUGUACGAGUGUUUUAAAAGGAUUUGCCAAGGGUAAUUUAUUUUCCCCUGACCUUAGAAUCUAAGCCUCUCCCAACUGCUGUCCUCCCAACACACAGAAGAUGAACUCCAAG
rnacentral:lncRNA from 1 species